AUUUGGAUUCUUAUAGACAAUUCCAGGAAGGUCCAUGGAAAAAAAGAAGGCAUCUUCCAUUUUUAUAUUGAUAUAAUUAACAUCCAGUAACAAAGGAGGGAGGACACAAGAUUGAUUUCUCCUUCACUUUUUUCACACAACAUAGGCACCAGAAGGUUUUGUUCUUCCUUUUAUUCUCCACUCAUCCUCAUGCAUACGACACUCCUCCACCCAUCUCUCACCCAUCUCACACCCAUCACUCAUUAUACACCCUCACAGAAGAUGAGAGAGAGGGGGACAAAUGCAAAUACAAGAGCUGAGGGGAACACACUAUUUCUUUUUCCUUUUUUUUUAUUUUGGGAUCUUUUUCUUCUUCGUGCACAGAAAGCACACGCAAAUAGGGGCUGAUGACCUUCAGCCCCUUUUUCUUUUAGGUAGAAGAUAAACACACGAAAAAGGGGACCCAUUUUUAUUUUCUUUUCCGUCAUUUCUGUUGGAUUUCGAUGUUGAGCUCGAAGAGCUUUUUCAGUUGAGGUCGUUCAUCGAGGUUCUUGAUUCUAGUUACCGGCUUGUCGUCAAUUUCAUUUUGCUCAACUAUGAAUCUGGUUCAUGGAUUGAAUUCAGAAUCACAUUCAUUCCAUUCGAGUUUGUGAAUUGAAAUCGAAAGCCACAUUAAGGUCUAUUCCUUUUCUCUUCCUUCACUAAUCUGUAAGUUAUUGAUACUCCGUGACUUGGAUCUGUGGUGUUUGAAUUUUGUUUUAGUUGAUUUGGACACAUUUGAAUCAUCAUAAAUGAUUGUUGAUAGCGAUCGAUUGAUUGGAUGAAUUAGAUAAUUAAAUGAAUCAGACUUAAUUUAGGGUGAAUCAUGAUUUUGGGAUGGUAUUAAAAAUUGUCUAAUCAAAAAUUUCAUUUUGUUUAUUCGGAUUGUUAAUUUUGAUUCAUGGAUGUUAUUAAAUACAAUAGUAUCAUGUUUAGGUCGACAAUUGAUAGACAAAUAUAAAUGGGUUAGGUAAAGUUUAUGACUUGCGAUCGUUAAAUAAUGAAAGUGUUUUGUUGAAAUGCGUUGGUUUAUAUUUUUGGAUUGAAGUGUAUUCAUUUGGCUGGGGAAUGUCCCGACGUACUAUGUUGGCAGAAGACAUUCGUGAGAAAGGACCGAGGCGUCGGGUAAAGCCGGAGACCGUAGUUAGGAUUAGUAUAGGUUAAAUAGGAUUUAUUUUCCCUUUUUUAUUUAUUUUUGGGACUGUAUAAUUGGACUGAACACUAUACUUUUAUUCGUUUUGUUUGGUUUGUUGGUUUGAUUGCUUUACGUGCUUCUUUGUGGUUUGUACAUUCGGAGUGUCAAAAUUAGCCGAUACGUUCCAUCAAGCGACCGUGGUCGAACCACGAGAUCGAGGGGUCCUAACACCUUCCCCUUGGUCAACAGAAUUUCUUAGCCAAAAUCUCUGUUUGCAAGCUAGUUUAAAGAGUCAAAUUAUUUUGAAAAGGAUUUUUCAAAGGUGACUUGGCACACCGGAUUAUGCCAAGUGGCGACUCUGUGCUUUGAAUGUAAAAAAAAAAAUUCUUUUUUUGGAAUGAAUCUUCAUUUUGUCACUUUAAUAAUAAAAACCCUUUCAAACCUUAAAACGAAUCUUUUGGUCAGAAAAAGGGGUGUGACACCUAUUCAGGGCAACAAAGGUACAAUAUAAAGUUUGGUUAUUAUCGUAUUAAAAAUCUUGAAGCAUUUAUAGCUUCCAACAAUUAGGAUUCACUUUGUUUCGUAACUAACAUUCAGUUAAAGUUUAAAGAUUCUUGUAAACUAAAAUGCAUUGCGUAGGUUUAUCGUAUUAUAAACUAUUUCUAUUUUAUAAGUAUUUUCUUAUUGGUUAAACCUAAAACCGAACCUUUAAGGAACAAAAAUUGAUAAACCAGAACCGAUGAGAAAAUAUCUUAUUGGUUGGUUAUUGGUUUUACAUAUUUAAAACUCAAAAACCGAUAAAUCGAAUUAAUAACACGUAAAACCGAAUCGAACCAAAUCGAUCGAUGCACACCCCUAGCCUAGUAUGGGCCGACGGGGCUAUUUCGAUGGUUAAAUGGGCAAAACAAUGCGAAUGGGCAAUUUUUGGGCAAAAUUGGUUUUUAUAGCCUAAGGUUCAGGGGUAGGCCCGAGGCCUGGGCGUAUUUUGGGCAAAAAUCAAUUGGGGGACUUCAAGAAGACUCUAGAGUGGCCUAGUAUGGGUUGGAGGAGUUGGUGGGGCUAUUUGGGUGGUCAAAAGGGUGAAACAGCGUGAACAGACAUUUUUGAGCUAAAUCGUUGUGCUAAAUCCCACGGUUCCUUGGGUGGGCCCAGGGCAUAGUGUGUUUUAGGACAAAAAUUGAUGAGAGACAUCUAAGCAGGCUGAGGUGUGACCUAGUGUCAACCGACGAGGUCUAUGGGGCCAUUUGGGUGGUCAAACGGUCAAAACGGCGUGACCGAGCCAUUUUAGCACAAAAUUGGUGUGCUAUAGCCCAUGGUUUCAGGGGUGGUCCUAGGGCUCGGGCAUAUUUUAGACUGAAAAUCAACUAGGCCCCUCAUGCAAGCGAGGAGCAGCAUAGUAUGGGUCGGCAGAGCCAUUUGGGUGGUCAAAUGGGCAGAACGAUGCAAACAGACCAUUUUCGAGAUAAAUCAGUACUCUGUAACCCACGGUUUAAGGGGUGAGCCCGGGGUACAUACGUAUUUUAGGCUGAAAAUAGAUUGGGCCCCCCAAGCAGGCUGGGGAGUGACAUAGUAUAGGCCGGCGGAGCCAUUUGGGUAGUCAGAUGGGCGAAACAACAUGAACGGGCCAUUUUCAGGCCAAAUCGGUGUGCUAUAGCCCACGGUUCUGAGGUUGGGCCCAAAGCGCGGGUGUGUUUUGGGCUAAAAAUUGAUCUGGAUCCCCCAAGUAGGCUGAGGAGCAGCCUAGUAUUGGGCAGUAGGGCUAUUUGGAUUGUCAAACGAGUGAAACGGCGCAAACGAACCAUUUUUGGGCAAAAUCGGUGUGCUAUAGCCAACAGUUUAGGAGGUGGACCCAGAGAUCGGAGGUGUUUGGAUCGAUCGAGGGCCCCCAGAUAGUCUGAGAAGUGACCUAGUAUGGGUCAGCGGGGCCAUUUGAGUGGUCAAAAGAGCAAAACGACGUAAACAAACCAAUUUUGGGCCAAAUCGGUGUGCUAUAGCCCAUGGUUACGGGGGUGGGCUUGGGGCUUGAGUGUAUCUUUUGCUAAAAAUUGAUGGGGUACUCUCAAAAUAUCUGAGGAAUGACCUAGUGUGGGACGACGGGGUCGAAGGGGUUAUUUUGGUAGUCAAACGGGCAAAAUGGCAUGAACGGACCAUUUUUGAGCCAAAUCAGUGUGUUAUAGCCCACAGGUCGGGGGGAGGGGGUCUCUGAUGUAUUUUUCAUCGAAAAUCAAUCGGAGCCCCCCAAGAAGGUUGAGGAGCAGCCUAGUGUGUGUCGGUGGGGCCAUUUGGGUGGUCAAACGAGCAAAAUGGCACGAACGAACCAUUUUUGGACCAAAUCGGUGUGCUAUAACCCAUGGUUUCAAAGGUAGGCUCGAGGCCCGAAUAUUUUUUGGUCGAAAGUCAAUCGAGGGUCCUAAGGCAGGCUGAGAAUCGCCCUAGUAUGGGCCGACUGGGUCGGCGCGACCAUUUGGGUGGUCAAACGGGCGAAACGACCUGAACAGGUCAUUUUUAGUCAAAUCGGUGUGCUAUAUAUCCCACGGUUUCGAGGGUGGACCCAGUACCCGAGCACGUUUUGGGCAAAAAAUUGAUCGGAUCCCCCAAGCAGGCUGAAAAGUGGCCUAAUAUUGGUCGGUGUGGUUAGCGGGGACAUUUGAGUGGUUAAACGGGUGAAAUGGCGCAAACGGAUUAUUUUUUAGCUAAAUCAGUAUGCUAUAGCCCACGGUUCUAGGGGCAGACCCAGGGUCCGAGCGUGUUUUGGGAUGAAAAUAAACUGGACCACCCAGGCAGGCUAAGGAGCGGCCUAGUGUGGGCUGAUGGGGUCGGCGGGGCCAUUUGGAUGGUCAAAUAGGCAAAAUGGAACGAACGAGUUAGUUUUGGGCCAAAUCGGUGCGCUAUAGCCUAAGUUUCUGGAGGUUGUCCCGGGGCACAGGCUUGUUAUGGGCCAAAAAUCAUUCGAUGGCCCCCAAGCAGGCUGAGGGGCGGCCUAGUGUGGGCCAGUGGGGUCGAUGGGGCCAUUUGGAUGGACAAACGGUUGAAACAACACGAGUGAGCCAUUUGGGGCCAAAUAGGUGUGUUAUAACCCGCGGUUCCGAUGGUGGGUCUGGGGCUGGGGUGUGUUUUUGGCCAUAAAUCAACUGGGGGCUCCCAGACAAGCUGAGGAGUGGCCUAGUGUGGGUCGGCGGGGCCAUUUGUGUGGUCAAGUGGGCGAAACGGCGAGAAUAGGCUUUUUUAGGCUAAAUCGGUCUGCUAUAGCUUAUGGUUCCGGAGGAGGGCCCGAGGCUCGGGCGUGUUUUAGGCAAAAAAAAUUGAUUGGGGGCCUCAGACAAGCUGAGAAAUGGCCUAAUCUGGGCCGACGAGGUCGGUGGGGCCAUUUGGGUGGCCAAAUAGGCAAAAUAGCCUGAACGGACAAUUUUUGGGCCAAAUCGUAUGCUAUAGCCUACGGUUCCGAGGGUGGCCUAGGGCCCGGGCGUGCUUAAGGCCAAAAAUUGAUUUGGGCCCCAAGACAAGCUGAGGAGCAGCCAAGUGUUAGUCGGGGAGGUCGGCAGAGCCAUAUAUAUAUAUAUGGGCUUGGGAUACUUAAACAAACUUGUUCAUAAAACCCACAAUCUUGGCUGCACAUAAUAAACUAUUCUGUUCGCUUCAACCUAUGUGAAAGUGUCUAAUUUGGCAUACAAUUGAAAACAACUAAAGACUUUAAAAAUUUGUGUUUAAAAUACUCGCAAUCGAUACGAAGUUGAGGCCGAUCAUGAACGCUAUUGGCCCAACUCAAUAGGGACAAUAUAACCCCCACUUCAAGCGCACCUCCAUAUUGACUGUGAACCAUGUGAGCGCAAAAAAUUCUAUAGCUAAAGAGAAUUUUGAAGUUAAAUUGCUACUUCCUUCGUUUUCAUUUUAGCAAAUCAAGAGAUUUCCGUUCUGAAUAUUAUCUUCAUUAUUAAAGUUAAAUUUAAAAGUAGCUAAAAAUGGAAAGAAACAGCCUUCUUUAAACGGACAAAAGAAGAAAGUAAGACGAACAAAUUGAAAUAGUGAUAAUUUCAAACACUUGCAUUAAGCAAACUCUUAAAAUAGAUUACAAAGUAGAACUCAAGAUCUAUGACUCCAUUUUUUUUAACAUUCCAAUUAGGGAUACAAAGAAAAAGAAGAUUGAAUUUUCUUCUUCUCGUUCCCAUCUCUUUCCAUUACAUACUUAAUUUAGUCACUUGACUGACUGACUUUCUAAUAGCAUUUCCUGUCACUUUCUAUUCACUGUCAGAAUUCAUAUUCUCCUGUUCACCUGGUUGAUAGAUCAUUACUUUUGCAUUUGUCAUAUAAUACCUCUUCUUUUGUUGUCAGGGUUAAGAGAGACGCAUAAAUUUGAACCAUAUUUGUAGUACGAUUUUUUUUUUCAAUAUUUAAAAUUUUUCCUUAUUUUAAAAGUCAAAUCCUU
rnacentral:lncRNA from 1 species